AGCGAACGUUUGCGGCGGGCCUAACACAUGCAAGUCGAACGCACUAGCAAUAGUGAGUGGCGCACGGGUGCGUAACACGUGGGUAAUCAACCCUUCAGCUUGGGAUAACGACUUGAAAGGGUCGCUAAUACCGGAUACGGCGCGAGAGGCUUCGGCUUCUCACGAGAAAGCCUCGCAAGGGGCACUGAAGGACGAGCCUGCGGCCCAUCAGCUAGUUGGUGAGGUAAGAGCUCACCAAGGCUAAGACGGGUAGCUGGUCUGAGAGGAUGAUCAGCCACACUGGAACUGAGACACGGUCCAGACUCCUACGGGAGGCAGCAGUGGGGAAUAUUGCGCAAUGGGCGAAAGCCUGACGCAGCCACGCCGCGUGAGCGAUGAAGGCCUCGGUCGUAAGACUCUGUGGGAGGAGAAGAAUAAAGACC
rnacentral:rRNA from 1 species